GAUGAACGCUGGCGGCGUGCCUAAUACAUGCAAGUCGAGCGGCAGCACGGUCUUCGGACUGGUGGCGAGCGGCGGACGGCUGAGUAACGCGUAGGAACGUACCCCAAAGUGAGGGAUAACUGCUCGAAAGAGUAGCUAAUACCGCAUGUGGUCUAAGGAUUAAAGCUUCGGCGCUUUGGGAACGGCCUGCGUAAGAUUAGCUAGUUGGUGAGGUAAUGGCUCACCAAGGCGAUGAUCUUUAGCUGGUCUGAGAGGAUGAUCAGCCAGACUGGGACUGAGACACGGCCCAGACUCCUACGGGAGGCAGCAGUAGGGAAUUUUCCACAAUGGGCGAAAGCCUGAUGGAGCAACGCCGCGUGCAGGAUGAAUGCCUUCGGGUUGUAAACUGCUUUUAUAUGUGACGAUUAUGACGGUAGCAUAUGAAUAAGGAUCGGCUAACUCCGUGCCAGCCGCCGCGGUAA
rnacentral:rRNA from 1 species